rnacentral:antisense_RNA from 1 species
UUUUGCAUUCGGCUUAUUCUUAAUGAUGCCAUUACCCACAGCGUGUAAUAAGUGAGUCUUACCUAAACCGGUUCCGCCAUA